AACAUGCAUGACAAACAGAUUGGGGGCGAAGGCCCUGAACAUACAUAGACAUUUUAUAUCAGCAUACAGAAAAGUAAAACCCUCCUUCAGUCCUCUACCAAAGAAUAUAUUAUUCCCACAGGAAAAACUCAGAAAGGUGUGUAAAAUCCUCAGAAGGGGGAGCAGUUGAUUCAGUAAGACUGCUACAAUUUAAAACUGUUAUGCUUGCUUUGAUACCUGACUAAAUGUGACUGAGUGCAACAAGCAUUUAAAAAAUUUUUAGACAGUGUUUUGUUUAGAAUUCAGGGAUCAUGCAUUCUUUAAUGGUGCUGUUUGUUUUUUUAUUUCUUCUUUUCUACAAAGAAAAAAAGUGUUGCCUACAAAAGUGACUGCUCACAAUACCAUAAGUUAAAUGAAAG
rnacentral:lncRNA from 1 species